AUUGAACGCUGGCGGCAGGCCUAACACAUGCAAGUCGAGCGGAUGAAGAGAGCUUGCUCUCUGAUUUAGCGGCGGACGGGUGAGUAAUGCCUAGGAAUCUGCCUGGUAGUGGGGGAUAACGUUCCGAAAGGAAAGCUAAUACCGCAUACGUCCUACGGGAGAAAGCAGGGGACCGUCGGGCCUUGCGCUACCAGAUGUGCCGGGGUCGGAUUAGCUAGUUGGUGAGGUAAUGGCGCACCAAGGCGACGAUCCGUAACUGGUCUGAGAGGAUGAUCAGUCACACUGGAACUGAGACACGGUCCAGACUCCUACGGGAGGCAGCAGUGGGGAAUAUUGGACAAUGGGCGAAAGCCUGAUCCAGCCGUGCCGCGUGUGUGAAGAAGGUCUUCGGAUUGUAAAGCACUUUAAGUUGGGAGGAAGGGCAGUAAGUUAAUACCUUGCUGUUUUGACGUUACCGACAGAAUAAGCACCGGCUAACUUCGUGCCAGCAGCCGCAGUAACAC
rnacentral:rRNA from 1 species